rnacentral:rRNA from 12 species
UCCGUAGGUGAACCUGCGGAGGGAUCAUUACAAGUGACCCCGGUCUAACCACCGGGAUGUUCAUAACCCUUUGUUGUCCGACUCUGUUGCCUCCGGGGCGACCCUGCCUUCGGGCGGGGGCUCCGGGUGGACACUUCAAACUCUUGCGUAACUUUGCAGUCUGAGUAAACUUAAUUAAUAAAUUAAAACUUUUAACAACGGAUCUCUUGGUUCUGGCAUCGAUGAAGAACGCAGCGAAAUGCGAUAAGUAAUGUGAAUUGCAGAAUUCAGUGAAUCAUCGAAUCUUUGAACGCACAUUGCGCCCCCUGGUAUUCCGGGGGGCAUGCCUGUUCGAGCGUCAUUUCACCACUCAAGCCUCGCUUGGUAUUGGGCAACGCGGUCCGCCGCGUGCCUCAAAUCGACCGGCUGGGUCUUCUGUCCCCUAAGCGUUGUGGAAACUAUUCGCUAAAGGGUGUUCGGGAGGCUACGCCGUAAAACAACCCCAUUUCUAAGGUUGACCUCGGAUCAGGUAGGGAUACCCGCUGAACUUAAGCAUAUCAAUAAGCGGAGGA